CAGUCGCCGCGGGAAAACCAGCAGCCCAAGUGGUGGUCGCGCUUAUUGGGCCUAAAGCGCUCGUAGCCUGGCCGGUAAGUUCCCCGUGAAAUCGGGUCGCCCAACGAUUCGGCUUGCGGGGAAUACUGUCGGUCUUGGGGCCGGGAGACGCCGAGGGUACUCCGGGGGUAGCGGUGAAAUGCUGUAAUCCUCGGGGGACUACCAGUGGCGAAGGCGCUCGGCGAUAACGGGCCUGACGGUGAGGGGCGAAAGCUGGGGGCGCGAACGGGAUUAGAUACCCGAGUAGUCCCUGUCUCUUAUA
rnacentral:rRNA from 1 species